GUUCAAGGGGGCCGAAUACUUUCGCAAGGCACUGUAGGUUAUCCUUGACGUUAUUGCCAUGAUGCCAGGUUAUCCUUGACAUUAUUUCCAUGAUGCCAGGUAUACCUUGACGUUAUUGCCAUGAUGCCAGGUUAUCCUUGACGUUAUUGCCAUGAUGCUAGGUUAUCCUUGACGUUAUUGCCAUGAUGCCAGUUAUACCUUGACGUUAUUGCCAUGAUGCCAGUUAUACCUUGACGUUAUUGCCAUGAUGCUAGGUAUUCCUUGACGUUAUUGCCAUGUUGCUAGGUUAUCCUUGACAUUAUUUCCAUGAUGCCAGGUAUACCUUGACGUUAUUGCCAUGAUGCCAGGUUAUCCUUGACGUUAUUGCCAUGAUGCUAGGUUAUCCUUGACGUUAUUACCAUGAUGCUAGGUUAUCCUUGACGUUAUUGCCAUGAUGCUAGGUUAUCCUUGACGUUAUUGCCAUGAUGCCAGUUAUACCUUGACGUUAUUGCCAUGAUGCCAGUUAUACCUUGACGUUAUUGCCAUGAUGCUAGGUUAUCCUUGACGUUAUUGCCAUGAUGGUAGGUUAACCUUGACGUUAUUGCCAUGAUGCCAGGAAUACCUUGACGUUAUUGCCAUGAUGCCAGUUAUACCUUGACGUUAUUGCCAUGAUGCCAGUUAUACCUUGACGUUAUUGCCAUGAUGCUAGGUUAUCCUUGACGUUAUUGCCAUGAUGCCAGGUAUACCUUGACGUUAUUGCCAUGAUGCUAGGUUAUCCUUGACGUUAUUGCCAUGAUGCUAGGUUAUCCUUGACGUUAUUGCCAUGAUGCUAGGUUAUCCUUGACGUUAUUGCCCCAAUGCCAGGUAUACCUUAACGUUAUUGCCAUGAUGCCAGUUAUACCUUGACAUUUUUGCCAUGAUUCCAGUUAUACCUUGACGUUAUUGCCAUGAUGCCAGGUAUACCUUGACGUUAUUGCCAUGAUGCCAGUGUCAAGUCUCUGACAUUAUUUAGAGCGUUUGUUAGUCGGCUAACUGGUUGAUCCUGCGGUCUGGAACAGCCCCACGUCUCUGUUCAACCACCAGACCUCCAUGUUUUAAUAAACACUCUGAACCACCA